CAUAUCCUUAAAGAAAAAUUUCUGUUGGCAAGAUUGCCAAUGUUUUGGAAAAAUAAAAUAAGGAAGGAUGGAAGUACCUGACGGCAUAUCGUUUUUAUAAAGUUUUGGAUUAUGGAAUUUUCCUGGCUUUUGAGCCUCACAAGACUUUGAGAUUUUAUGGAUAUGAAACCUGCUAUCAUUUAGCAUCCUGCCUCUGGGAAUAGAAGCUGGACUGUACUGCUGCCAUCUCGGCUCACUGCAACCUCCCUGCCUGAUUCUCCUGCCUCAGCCUGCCCAGUGCCUGCGAUUGCAGGCGCGCGUCGCCACGCCUGACUGGUUUUCAUAUUUUUUGGGUGGAGACGGGGUUUCCCUGUGUUGGCCGGGCUGGUCUCCAGCUCCUAACCGCGAGUGAUCCGCCAGCCUCCGCCUCCCGAGGUGCCCGGAUUGCAGACGGAGUCUCCUUCACUCAGUGCUCAAUGGUGCCCAGGCUGGAGUGCAGUGGUGUGAUCUCGGCUCGCUACAACAUCCACCUCCCAGCAGCCUGCCUUGGCCUCCCAAAGUGCCGAGAUUGCAGCCUCUGCCCGGCCGCCACCCCGUCUGGGAAGUGAGGAGCGUCUCUGCCUGGCCGCCCAUCGUCUGGGAUGCGAGGAGCCCCUCUGCCUGGCUGCCCAGUCUGGAAAGUGAGGAGCAUCUCUGCCCAGCCGCCAUCCCAUCUAGGAAGUGAGGAGCGCCUCUUCCCGGCUGCCAUCCCAUCUAGGAAGUGAGGAGCGUCUCUGCCCGGCCGCCCAUCGUCUGAGAUGUGGGGAGUGCCUCUGCCCUGUCGCCCCGUCCGGGAUGUGAGGAGCGUCUCUGCCCGGCCGCCCCGUCUGAGAAGUGAGGAGACCCUCUGCCUGGCAACCGCCCUGUCUGAGAAGUGAGGAGCCCCUCCGCCCA
rnacentral:lncRNA from 10 species